GAUGAAGAACGUAGCGAAAUGCGAUAAGUAAUGUGAAUUGCAGAAUUCAGUGAAUCAUCGAAUCUUUGAACGCACCUUGCACUCCUUGGUAUUCCGAGGAGUACGCCUGUUCGAGUGUUAUGAAGCUCUCAAAACGCACUUGGCUUAAAACCUGAUUGUUGUUUUGGAUUUGAACUUUGCCGUGUUAUAACGGCUGGUUUUAAAAGUAUUAGCUGGUACUAGAACGAAUUGGUUCUACUCAACGUGAUAAUUAUCUGAUCGUUGAGGACAUUCCUUUCACGAGGAAUGGCCAUAGUAAAUUCAAUGGUCUGCUUCUAAUCUGGCUUUAAUUCUUUAUUGGAUUAACCACUUUUCAAAUCUGACCUCGAAUCAGGUGGGACUACCCGCUGAACUUAAGCAUAUCAAUAAGCGGAGGA
rnacentral:misc_RNA from 1 species